GACGAACGCUGGCGGCGUGCUUAACACAUGCAAGUCGAGCGGUAAGGCCCUUUCGGGGUACGACGAGCGGCGAACGGGUGAGUAACACGUGGGUGACCUGCCCUCAGCUCUGGGCGUAAGCCUGGGAAACUGGGUCGUAAUACCGGAUAUGACUCCAUGACGCAUGUUGUGGGGUGGAAAGCCUUGUGCGGCUGAGGAUGGGCCCGCGGCCUAUCAGCUUGUUGGUGGGGUGAUGGCCUACCAAGGCGACGACGGGUAGCCGGCCUGAGAGGGCGACCGGCCACACUGGGACUGAGACACGGCCCAGACUCCUACGGGAGGCAGCAGUGGGGAAUCUUGCGCAAUGGGCGAAAGCCUGACGCAGUGACGCCGCGUGAGGGAUGACGGCC
rnacentral:rRNA from 1 species